UACGAAGGGGGCUAGCGUUGCUCGGAAUCACUGGGCGUAAAGCGCACGUAGGCGGAUUCCUAAGUCGGGGGUGAAAUCCUGGAGCUUAACUCCAGAACUGCCUUCGAUACUGGGAAUCUUGAGUCCGGAAGAGGUGAGUGGAACUGCGAGUGUAGAGGUGAAAUUCGUAGAUAUUCGCAAGAACACCAGUGGCGAAGGCGGCUCACUGGCCCGAUACUGACGCUGAGGUGCGAAAGCGUGGGAGCAACAG
rnacentral:rRNA from 1 species